rnacentral:lncRNA from 1 species
UGUGUGUGUGUGUGUGUGUGUGGGGGGGGGAGAGCAGGCGCAUGGUACUCCCCAUGGUAGCCCAGUCGUACUGAAGGAUAAACAGUGAUUAUCUGGGCUGCCUGGAGAGAGACACAUGCUUAUGUACCACUCUCAGACAGACCACACAUACAUGUGAGGGACACGGUAGCCAAGACAACGCUCUAGCUGCAGUCAGAGGAGAAUAACACAUAAACAAAGACACGCAGAAUCACGUUCAGUCAAGUGUGAAUUGUCAUGUCUCUCAUACACGCGUCCACACAGAUACACAAACUAUGCCGCCGAUAGUGAGGCGAGUGUGAGGCGUCUGUGAGGUAAGAAAGAUCAAAGCUACUUAAUCAGCUUUAACAGACACACUUAGAGAGAGAGAUGUGGGACAGCGGGAAAAGAAAGAAUGGGGAGAGGGAGGGAUAGCAGAGAACAGAGGGUAGAGAAAGUGGUGACAGGCGGUGACACUGCGCGUGUCCUCGUUCCCUGUUUAAGAUGGGAUAAUCACACACACACACACACACACACACACACACACACACACACACACACACACACACACACACACACACACACACACACACACACACACACACACACACACACACACAAGCUGUGCUCUGUCCUCCGUGUCCCCCUCACAGCCCACUGUGACAUGCUGUUGCCAAUGCCACGAUACUGUGUGUGUGUGUGUGUGUGUGUGUGUGUGUGUGUAGUGUCUGUCUCUUCUUUUCCUAUAUGCCUAUUCCAUCUCUUUCUCUCCCCCUCCCUCUCUUUGUAAACCCUUUCUUUGCUUACCCUUUACCUCCUCCCUCUCUUCUCUCUCGCCCACUACGUCUCUCUUACAGGAAUUGUUAGCAGAUGUGGACAGAGCUUUUUCCUUCAUCUAAAAUUAGCCCCAAUAGAAGAAUGGCAGGAAAAGAGGGAGGGAGGGAAAGGGGGAUUGAUGGAGAAGCAGAAAGGAAUAGGGAAGGAAUAGGUUGAUGGUCUCGGUGAAGUAAGGGUGUAUUUUUGGGACCUCACACACCAUGCUGACGCAGUCAAGCCGUCGGGGGCACAAACAAAUUUGGAGGAGAGGAACAGCGUCCCGGCGUCUGAGUAGCAUGUGAUGCUAACCCGUCCUGCUGUUGUUGAAAAGGCCUGGAUUAGGAUUAGUUGUAAGUGAAUAAUGAUGAGUUGGGACUAUAGAAAGGUCUUGAUCCAUCUCAGCAGUUACAUAAUUAGGACUCUAUAAAAUCAGUUAUACUUUUGAUCUGAACUGUUUAGUUUUCCCCAAAUCCCGUUUUCUCUGUUUACUUUUUCCACGUUUCUGUUUUCCCCAACUUUUUUUCAGGUUUUCACUCUCUAAAGUCAACAACAAUACUGAAUCCACAUCAGGAGACCGCUUUUGAGGUCUGUGGAUUUUGGUGUUGUUGAAAUGUAGGUUUCUGUGUUACUGUUUAAUUCCAUUGUGCAGUUAGCAAGAGGCUGUUGUUUUUGUAGCUCACGUGAUGGUAGAGUUAACAAAAAAACAUUGACGCAAAUAAUCCUGAUAUCAUUCUGCCAGGUAAGCGUAGGCUACCUUGUAGUUAACAUUUAAUUGAGAAGGUUUUUGGGAAAGCCUUUCUAUCUACCAGGAGACUUUUCAUUAGCAUCAUCGCUAACAGCUACACAGUGGUAGACGUACCGCACAUACAGACAGGGGGAAUUAUUGUUGCCUCUUCAGAAAGUUGCAGGAAAAUACACAUCACUGAGGCAUUCUGUAUGCUAGUCAAUACAGUUCAAUCAAUACAUUUUUUAUUUAUUUUUGAAUUCAGUUUUAAUGUCUGGAUGUUAUAGGACCCGACAUAAUACACUCAGCCUCUCGUUGGCACCAGGGACACUGAUGUUUUGUGUGUGUGUGUGUGUGUCUGUGAGCACGUGUGUGGAAGAGAACAGAGAAGUCCUGUAUAGUGUAACAGGUGAGUGAGAGGCGCCUGCAGUGGAUUCCCCAGGACACUACAGGACAGACCAGACAGACAGGCAGCACCACUCAACACACUGGCUGCAUAGCCUACAUAGUGAGACACAUGGAUCAAACACCAUACUGAGGUCGCUAAUGAAUGAAGUAUCACAUCACCUUAAACAAUCACCUGAAGAGUUGCAUCGUUUCAUUACUUUGUAAUGGGGUCAUUUAGUUCAGAUAAACUCCACAACUCUAACCAGUCCCUUAACAGUAGAAGUGUGAUAGAGUCUGACAGAGAGAGCAGUUGAGGUGGGGAGGACCGUAGAGCAGUUGAGGUGGGGAGGACCGUAGAGCAGUUGAGGUGGGGAGGACCGUAGAGCAGUUGAGGUGGGGAGGACCGUAGAGCAGUUGAGGUGGGGAGGACCGUAGAGCAGUUGAGGUGGGGAGGCUGUUCAUAUCAACAGGCGGUCAGGUGUUUUUUUCUUCUUAACAUUCCCACAAUGUUAAUCUGCCCUGGAACGUACCGGCCACUGGAUAGGAGGUGUUAGUGGGAACGUACCGGCCACUGGAUAGGAGGUGUUAGUGGGAACGUACCGGCCACUAGAUAGGAGGUGUUAGUGGGAACGUACCGGCCACUGGAUAGGAGGUGUUAGUGGGAACGUACCGGCCACUGGAUAGGAGGUGUUAGUGGGAACGUACCGGCCACUGGAUAGGAGGUGUUAGUGGGAACGUACCGGCCACUAGAUAGGAGGUGUUAGUGGGAACGUACCGGCCACUGGAUAGGAGGUGUUAGUGGGAAAGUACCGGCCACUGGAUAGGAGGUGUUAGUGGGAACGUACCGGCCACUGGAUAGGAGGUGUUAGUGGGAACGUACCGGCCACUGGAUAGGAGGAGUGAGUGGGAACGUACCGGCCACUGGAUAGGAGGUGUUAGUGGGAACGUACCGGCCACUGGAUAGGAGGUGUUAGUGGGAACGUACCGGCCACUGGAUAGGAGGUGUUAGUGGGAACGUACCGGCCACUGGAUAGGAGGAGUGAGUGGGAACGUUCCGGCCACUGGAUAGGAGGUGUUAGUGGGAACGUGCCGGCCACUGGAUAGGAGGAGUGAGGGGGAACGUGCCGGCCACUGGAUAGGAGGAGUGAGGGGGAACGUGCCGGCCACUGGAUAGGAGGUGUUAGUGGGAACGUGCCGGCCACUGGAUAGGAGGAGUGAGUGGGAACGUGCCUGCCACUGGAUAGGAGGUGUUAGUGGGAACGUGCCGGCCACUGGAUAGGAGGUGUGAGUGGGAACGUACCGGCCACUGGAUAGGAGGUGUGAGUGGGAACGUACCGGCCACUGGAUAGGAGGUGUUAGUGGGAACGUACCGGCCACUGGAUAGGAGGAGUGAGUGGGAACGUGCCGGCCACUGGAUAGGAGGUGUUAGUGGGAACGUACCGGCCACUGGAUAGGAGGAGUGAGUGGGAACGUGCCGGCCACUGGAUAGGAGGUGUUAGUGGGAACGUACCGGCCACUGGAUAGGAGGUGUUAGUGGGAACGUACCGGCCACUGGAUAGGAGGUGUUAGUGGGAACGUACCGGCCACUGGAUCGGAGGUGUUAGUGGGAACGUACCGGCCACUGGAUAGGAGGAGUGAGGGGGAACGUGCCGGCCACUGGAUAGGAGGAGUGAGGGGGAACGUGCCGGCCACUGGAUAGGAGGAGUGAGGGGGAACGUGCCGGCCACUGGAUAGGAGGUGUUAGUGGGAACGUGCCGGCCACUGGAUAGGAGGUGUUAGUGGGAACGUGCCGGCCACUGGAUAGGAGGAGUGAGUGGGAACGUGCCGGCCACUGGAUAGGAGGAGUGAGUGGGAACGUACCGGCCACUGGAUAGGAGGAGUGACGGGGAACGUGCCGGCCACUGGAUAGGAGGUGUGAGGGGGAACGUACCGGCCACUGCAUAGGAGGUGUUAGUGGGAACGUACCGGCCACUGGAUAGGAGGAGUGAGUGGGAACGUGCCUGCCACUGGAUAGGAGGUGUUAGUGGGAACGUGCCGGCCACUGGAUAGGAGGAGUGAGGGGGAACGUGCCGGCCACUGGAUAGGAGGUGUUAGUGGGAACGUGCCGCCCACUGGAUAGGAGGAGUGAGUGGGAACGUACCGGCCACUGGAUAGGAGGAGUGAGUGGGAACGUGCCGGCCACUGGAUAGGAGGUGUUAGUGGGAACGUGCCGGCCACUGGAUAGGAGUAGUGAGUGGGAACGUGCCGGCCACUGGAUAGGAGGAGUGAGUGGGAACGUACCGGCCACUGGAUAGGAGGAGUGAGUGGGAACGUGCCGGCCACUGGAUAGGAGGUGUGAGUGGGAACGUGCCGGCCACUGGAUAGGAGGAGUGAGUGGGAACGUGCCGGCCACUGGAUAAGAGGAGUGAGUGGGAACGUGCCGGCCACUGGAUAGGAGGAGUGAGUGGGAACGUACCGCCACUGGAUAGGAGGUGUGAGUGGGAACGUACCGGCCACUGGAUAGGUGUGAGUGGGAACGUACCGGCCACUGGAUAGGAGGUGUUAGUGGGAACGUGCCAGCCACUGGAUAGGAGGUGUGAGUGGGAACGUGCCGGCCACUGGAUAGGAAGUGUGAGUGGGAACGUACCGGCCACUGGAUAGGAGGUGUUAGUGGGAACGUACCGGCCACUGGAUAGGAGGUGUUAGUGGGAAUGUGCCGGCCACUGGAUAGGAGGUGUGAGUGGGAACGUACCGGCCACUGGAUAGGAGGUGUGAGUGGGAACGUACCGGCCACUGGAUAGGAGGUGUUAGUGGGAACGUACCGGCCACUGGAUAGGAGGUGUUAGUGGGAAUGUACCGGCCACUGGAUAGGAGGAGUGAGUGGGAACGUUCGGCCACUGGAUAGGAGGUGUGAGUGGGAACGUACCGGCCACUGGAUAGGAGGUGUGAGUGGGAACGUACCGGCCACUGGAUAGGAGGUGUGAGUGGGAACGUACCGGCCACUGGAUAGGAGGUGUGAGUGGGAACGUACCGGCCACUGGAUAGGAGGUGUGAGUGGGAACGUACCGGCCACUGGAUAGGAGGUGUUAGUGGGAACGUGCCGGCCACUGGAUAGGAGGUGUGAGUGGGAACGUACCGGCCACUGGAUAGGAGGAGUGAGUGGGAACGUGCCGAUAGGAGGAGUGAGUGGGAACGUACCGGCCACUGGAUAGGAGGAGUGAUGGGAGUCAUGCUGUGUUUUCUUUGAUAAUGUAUUGAAUGUGAGGUUUGGAUGCAUGCCGUGCAGGUCAGUAUAAGACCAACUGUAACAGUAUCUAACGUUGUGGCUUGCGAGACACAGCUACAGCAAGUCUGCCUACCCAGGAACUACAGAUGGAAAGUAUUGGAGUUGGUCUGGACUUAUGUCGGCUAUUGCUGUUGAGGAGCUGUUAGCAAAAGUGAUGAUAAUAUUACUAACACGGUUAGAAACCAUGCAAGGACGAUGUGAAGAGUAGUCUAGCUAUAUUUAAAGAGUUACACGGAGUUGUUCUGAGAGGAGAGGUGGUACAGCCUUUGUGGAACAGUGUAUUGUAGUUCACGGUGUCUCAGUGCAGCUUGGCCCAGCUGGCCUGCAUGGCUGGUUUGUCUUCACCACCCCUAGUUACUGCCUGGUGUUGGACUAUGGAACGGUUCUGUUCUUCCACUGCCAGGUAGAGUGGGCUUCUCUCUCUCUCACACACACACACACACACACACACACACACACACACACACACACACACACACACACACACACACACACACACACACACACACACACACACACACACAGCGAGGCAGAGUGUGGGUCUUGGAAGUGAGAGGAGCGAGAUUCUUCUCUCAUUCAGCAAAGAACUCUGUCGUCUCACGAUUACCUGUUGCUGGCUUCCUCUCUCCCUCCUCAUCCUCCACCACCACCUUUCUCUUACCUGUUCUGUUUGAGUCUUUGCUGCUCUGUGUUUGAAAGGAUUAAUUGUCAUGUAUGUUAAUUUUUUUUGUUCUGUUUGUUUCUGGGGGGUUAUUUUUAGGCCUGAAGUGUCUGGUUGCUAGGACACAGUGUCCAGGAGAGAGAGGGAGGGAGAGAAAAGGAAGGGAAUGGAGGGAGAGAGAUGUGUUUGCGUUGUGAAGGCUGAAUUACACACUCACACACUUAGUCAGCGAUGACGCACAUACACACACACACACACAUCCUGCCCAGUAACUGUUAUUGUGAACUUGUUUUUCUAGUUUUGUGUAACUUCUUGUCAUUAGGUCUGUUCUGUGUGUGUCACUGUCAUGCUGGUUUGGCUUUCCUGACUGUACCUCUCUACCUGCUGUCACUGUGUGCUCCGGUCUGUCUGUGUUCCUGUCUGUCUGUGUUCCUGUCUGUCUGUGUUCCUGUCUGUCUGUGUUCCUGUCUGUCUGUGUUCCUGUCUGUCUGUGUUCCUGUCUGUCUGUGUUCCUGUCUGUCUGUGUUCCUGUCUGUCUGUGUUCCUGUCUGUCUGUGUUCCUGCCUGUGUCAGUGUGUUAUUAGUGUGAGUGCUGGUCAGAGCAGCACACUUGUUGAGCUCUGCCAUUUCUCCUGCGGUGGCAUUGCAUCAGCUUCUCUCUGUCACACAGGACCAUCUCCUGGGUGUUAACACACCUUCCUGGUCUAGGUCCUACAGGCUUUCAGACAUGACAUGUUGACCAUCCCAGUUCUACAGGCCUGCUGGAUUUCACCUGGUGGCCAACUUUACAAAGUGUUCUCUUUUCACUGGAUGUCUAUAUGAGGGAUGCAUGCUCUCUCUCACUCUCUCACUCUCUCACUCUCUCACACACACACACACACACACACACACACACACACACACACACACACACACACACACACACACACACACACACACA